CUAUCAUGCAAGUCGAACGCACUCUCGUUUAGAUUGAAGGAGCUUGCUCCUGAUUGAUAAACAUUUGAGUGAGUGGCGGACGGGUGAGUAACACGUGGGUAACCUGCCCUAAAGUGGGGGAUAACAUUUGGAAACAGAUGCUAAUACCGCAUAAAACCUAACACCGCAUGGUGUAGGGUUGAAAGAUGGUUUCGGCUAUCACUUUAGGAUGGACCCGCGGUGCAUUAGUUAGUUGGUGAGGUAAAGGCUCACCAAGACCGUGAUGCAUAGCCGACCUGAGAGGGUAAUCGGCCACACUGGGACUGAGACACGGCCCAGACUCCUACGGGAGGCAGCAGUAGGGAAUCUUCCACAAUGGACGAAAGUCUGAUGGAGCAACGCCGCGUGAGUGAAGAAGGUUUUCGGAUCGUAAAACUCUGUUGUUGGAGAAGAAUGUAUCUGAUAGUAACUGAUCAGGUAGUGACGGUAUCCAACCAGAAAGCCACGGCUAACUACGUGCCAGCAGCCGCGGUAAUACGUAGGUGGCAAGCGUUGUCCGGAUUUAUUGGGCGUAAAGCGAGCGCAGGCGGUUUCUUAAGUCUGAUGUGAAAGCCUUCGGCUCAACCGAAGAAGUGCAUCGGAAACUGGGAAACUUGAGUGCAGAAGAGGACAGUGGAACUCCAUGUGUAGCGGUGAAAUGCGUAGAUAUAUGGAAGAACACCAGUGGCGAAGGCGGCUGUCUGGUCUGUAACUGACGCUGAGGCUCGAAAGCAUGGGUAGCAAACAGGAUUAGAUACCCUGGUAGUCCAUGCCGUAAACGAUGAGUGCUAGGUGUUGGAGGGUUUCCGCCCUUCAGUGCCGCAGCUAACGCAUUAAGCACUCCGCCUGGGGAGUACGACCGCAAGGUUGAAACUCAAAGGAAUUGACGGGGGCCCGCACAAGCGGUGGAGCAUGUGGUUUAAUUCGAAGCAACGCGAAGAACCUUACCAGGUCUUGACAUCCUUUGACCACUCUAGAGAUAGAGCUUUCCCUUCGGGGACAAAGUGACAGGUGGUGCAUGGUUGUCGUCACCUCGUGUCGUGAGAUGUUGGGUUAAGUCCCGCAACGAGCGCAACCCUUAUUACUAGUUGCCAGCUUAAGUUGGGCACUCUAGGGAACUGCCGGGGACAAACCGGAAGAAGGGGGGACAACUCAAAUCUUCUGCCCCUUUAAACUGGGCUAACCCGGUUCAAAUGAAGGGAAAACAAGU
rnacentral:rRNA from 1 species